rnacentral:rRNA from 1 species
GGUUAAGCGACUAAGCGUACACGGUGGAUGCCCUGGCAGUCAGAGGCGAUGAAGGACGUGCUAAUCUGCGAUAAGCGUCGGUAAGGUGAUAUGAACCGUUAUAACCGGCGAUUUCCGAAUGGGGAAACCCAGUGUGAUUCGUCACACUAUCAUUAACUGAAUCCAUAGGUUAAUGAGGCGAACCGGGGGAACUGAAACAUCUAAGUACCCCGAGGAAAAGAAAUCAACCGAGAUUCCCCCAGUAGCGGCGAGCGAACGGGGAGCAGCCCAGAGCCUGAAUCAGUGUGUGUGUUAGUGGAAGCGUCUGGAAAGGCGCGCGAUACAGGGUGACAGCCCCGUACACAAAAAUGCACAUGCUGUGAGCUCGAUGAGUAGGGCGGGACACGUGGUAUCCUGUCUGAAUAUGGGGGGACCAUCCUCCAAGGCUAAAUACUCCUGACUGACCGAUAGUGAACCAGUACCGUGAGGGAAAGGCGAAAAGAACCCCGGCGAGGGGAGUGAAAAAGAACCUGAAACCGUGUACGUACAAGCAGUGGGAGCACAGAGCAAUCUGUGUGACUGCGUACCUUUUGUAUAAUGGGUCAGCGACUUAUAUUCUGUAGCAAGGUUAACCGAAUAGGGGAGCCGAAGGGAAACCGAGUCUUAACUGGGCGUUAAGUUGCAGGGUAUAGACCCGAAACCCGGUGAUCUAGCCAUGGGCAGGUUGAAGGUUGGGUAACACUAACUGGAGGACCGAACCGACUAAUGUUGAAAAAUUAGCGGAUGACUUGUGGCUGGGGGUGAAAGGCCAAUCAAACCGGGAGAUAGCUGGUUCUCCCCGAAAGCUAUUUAGGUAGCGCCUCGUGAAUUCAUCUCCGGGGGUAGAGCACUGUUUCGGCAAGGGGGUCAUCCCGACUUACCAACCCGAUGCAAACUGCGAAUACCGGAGAAUGUUAUCACGGGAGACACACGGCGGGUGCUAACGUCCGUCGUGAAGAGGGAAACAACCCAGACCGCCAGCUAAGGUCCCAAAGUCAUGGUUAAGUGGGAAACGAUGUGGGAAGGCCCAGACAGCCAGGAUGUUGGCUUAGAAGCAGCCAUCAUUUAAAGAAAGCGUAAUAGCUCACUGGUCGAGUCGGCCUGCGCGGAAGAUGUAACGGGGCUAAACCAUGCACCGAAGCUGCGGCAGCGACGCUGAUGCGUUGUUGGGUAGGGGAGCGUUCUGUAAGCCUGCGAAGGUGUGCUGUGAGGCAUGCUGGAGGUAUCAGAAGUGCGAAUGCUGACAUAAGUAACGAUAAAGCGGGUGAAAAGCCCGCUCGCCGGAAGACCAAGGGUUCCUGUCCAACGUUAAUCGGGGCAGGGUGAGUCGACCCCUAAGGCGAGGCCGAAAGGCGUAGUCGAUGGGAAACAGGUUAAUAUUCCUGUACUUGGUGUUACUGCGAAGGGGGGACGGAGAAGGCUAUGUUGGCCGGGCGACGGUUGUCCCGGUUUAAGCGUGUAGGCUGGUUUUCCAGGCAAAUCCGGAAAACUAAGGCUGAGGCGUGAUGACGAGGCACUACGGUGCUGAAGCAACAAAUGCCCUGCUUCCAGGAAAAGCCUCUAAGCAUCAGGUAACAUCAAAUCGUACCCCAAACCGACACAGGUGGUCAGGUAGAGAAUACCAAGGCGCUUGAGAGAACUCGGGUGAAGGAACUAGGCAAAAUGGUGCCGUAACUUCGGGAGAAGGCACGCUGAUAUGUAGGUGAAGCGACUUGCUCGUGGAGCUGAAAUCAGUCGAAGAUACCAGCUGGCUGCAACUGUUUAUUAAAAACACAGCACUGUGCAAACACGAAAGUGGACGUAUACGGUGUGACGCCUGCCCGGUGCCGGAAGGUUAAUUGAUGGGGUCAGCGCAAGCGAAGCUCUUGAUCGAAGCCCCGGUAAACGGCGGCCGUAACUAUAACGGUCCUAAGGUAGCGAAAUUCCUUGUCGGGUAAGUUCCGACCUGCACGAAUGGCGUAAUGAUGGCCAGGCUGUCUCCACCCGAGACUCAGUGAAAUUGAACUCGCUGUGAAGAUGCAGUGUACCCGCGGCAAGACGGAAAGACCCCGUGAACCUUUACUAUAGCUUGACACUGAACAUUGAGCCUUGAUGUGUAGGAUAGGUGGGAGGCUUUGAAGUGUGGACGCCAGUCUGCAUGGAGCCGACCUUGAAAUACCACCCUUUAAUGUUUGAUGUUCUAACGUGGACCCGUAAUCCGGGUUGCGGACAGUGUCUGGUGGGUAGUUUGACUGGGGCGGUCUCCUCCUAAAGAGUAACGGAGGAGCACGAAGGUUGGCUAAUCCUGGUCGGACAUCAGGAGGUUAGUGCAAUGGCAUAAGCCAGCUUGACUGCGAGCGUGACGGCGCGAGCAGGUGCGAAAGCAGGUCAUAGUGAUCCGGUGGUUCUGAAUGGAAGGGCCAUCGCUCAACGGAUAAAAGGUACUCCGGGGAUAACAGGCUGAUACCGCCCAAGAGUUCAUAUCGACGGCGGUGUUUGGCACCUCGAUGUCGGCUCAUCACAUCCUGGGGCUGAAGUAGGUCCCAAGGGUAUGGCUGUUCGCCAUUUAAAGUGGUACGCGAGCUGGGUUUAGAACGUCGUGAGACAGUUCGGUCCCUAUCUGCCGUGGGCGCUGGAGAACUGAGGGGGGCUGCUCCUAGUACGAGAGGACCGGAGUGGACGCAUCACUGGUGUUCGGGUUGUCAUGCCAAUGGCACUGCCCGGUAGCUAAAUGCGGAAGAGAUAAGUGCUGAAAGCAUCUAAGCACGAAACUUGCCCCGAGAUGAGUUCUCCCUGACUCCUUGAGAGUCCUGAAGGAACGUUGAAGACGACGACGUUGAUAGGCCGGGUGUGUAAGCGCAGCGAUGCGUUGAGCUAACCGGUACUAAUGAACCGUGAGGCUUAACCUUACAACGCCGAAG